rnacentral:lncRNA from 1 species
GCGGAAGGGAGUAAGUUUGGCCUCUGGCCGGGCCGUGCAGGAGGGAGGCGUCGAUGACAGAUGUGGAGGCCUAGGUCCCGGGGGCUGGCGAGAGAUGAAGAGGCGACACGUUCAUCAGUAGGCCUGCACAUGGUCAGCCGAGCAUGCUACAAGGCAUUCAUUAGCACCAGAGAGACGCUGCUUUCCUUCCUACCAGCCUCUUAAAUGGAGGUUGGUGUCCAAUGAAUUUGGCUUAGAGGGAGAUCUCGUUCAAACUUCGAACCUGCUGUACCAACCUGCGCCCUUCAGAAAAUGAGGACGGGAUGGUGAAAUCCUCAACUGGCUAGAGGUAGCAAGCAGGAGGGAUUCCAGGACUGCUCCCUGCUGGACGAAGUCACUGAUUCUGUAAAUGGGCGUGGGAGGCCCAACGAGGGCCAGAGACAGGAGAACUUGGAUCCGUCUUCCGCUGAGACUACACCCUGAUGUUCGUGUGGAUUAGGAAUCGGGACCAUCUUUGUUUACAAAGUCUGCUUAACGCGUUGAAGAGAGGAUGCAGCGAUGUGCUAACCUGCUCAUGCAAAGAACAAAGUCAAAGGCCAGUUGUAACUGUGGGUGGGUUAGCAGUUUAUCUGAGCAGGUGCUGAACAUUUGGAGAAGGCCUUACACAUGACCUGGGGGAUGGGAGUGGCACAGGGGAGCUGGAUGGGUAUUUAGAAAGUCUGAAUGACUUGGAGAGAGAUCAGUGACAUAAACAGCUAGAAAUGAGAAAGAUGGUGGCCAGGUAUGACUUUUUCUGAAGGGCCAGGUCAGUCCCAUUUCUUGGUUACUAUCUGAAAUGAUGACAGCCUUGUGGACAUUUGUGUGGGACCAAGCCCCAAGCUUAUGCAUACUUGGCUAUAUAAGGACUGCCACCAUCAACUCAUGGUUUUCGACGGACCAUCGGUGCCAUGUGCUGAAAAUUAAGGGAGGAAACUAGAAAUGAGAGGUCAGGAAAGGAGGAAAAUCCCAAACUUAGUUUUCCUUCAAACCUCAGAGUAUUGGGUGGGUCCUUUCUCGCUCUGAUGCUUGUGUAUGUUCUGGGGCACUCUCUUGAACAUCCCUGUAGCCUGUUUAAUCAGUAGGAAGCCUGACCGAGACUGUGUGUUACCAUGGCGACUGGCACAGGACCUCCUGCGGGAUCCUGAGCCCUGCCCUGUGAGGUAAGAAGACUGUGGGGAGACGGAUGAACUUUACAGAGCAGCUCCCCUCUCUGUGGGCUUCGCCCUGUGGGGACCUGCCUGUAGAGAGAAGCAGGGUUUGUCUCAAUGAGUGCCUGAGAGAAGAAUCCCACACGAGACUCCUCAGCACUCCCCAUGCCUUUAGGGAACCAUUCUGAUCCCCCAGGGGGCCAUCCAAGGAGCGGAGGUGCUCCUCUGCAAGCAGGGUCCUGAGUGUCAUUGCUCAUGCCACGAGGGAGCCCUGACGAUUGCCCUCUUGUCAAGAGCAAAUCUCUCUUUCUUUAAAUUUAAGCUCAAACUCUCCAGUACUCUGCUCUAAAGAUAAAGCAAAGGGUUGGCACAGGCCAUAUGUACAAACUCAUGUUUAAAUACCCUAAGACAAUGAGUACAUACCUUAGCACCAUUUUCU